rnacentral:rRNA from 1 species
AACGAACGCUGGAGGCAUGCCUUAUACAUGCAAGUCGAACGCGAAAGUACCUUCGGGUAUCAGUAGAGUGGCAAACGGGUGUGUAACGCGUGGGAAUAUACCUUAUAGUACGGAAUAGCCUCGGGAAACUGGGAUUAAUACCGUAUACGCCCUUAGGGGGAAAGAUUUAUCGCUAUAAGAUUAGCCCGCGUCAGAUUAGCUAGUUGGUGGGGUAACGGCCUACCAAGGCAACGAUCUGUAGCUGGUCUGAGAGGAUGACCAGCCACAUUGGGACUGAGAUACGGCCCAAACUCCUACGGGAGGCAGCAGUAGGGAAUAUUGGACAAUGGGGGAAACCCUGAUCCAGCAAUGCCUCGUGAGUGAUGAAGGCCUUAGGGUUGUAAAGCUCUUUUAGUGGGGAAGAUAAUGACGGUACCCACAGAAAAAGCACCGGCUAACUCCGUGCCAGCCGCCGCAGUAA